rnacentral:rRNA from 1 species
CCUACGAGAGGCAGCAGUGAGGAAUAUUGGUCAAUGGGCGCGAGCCUGAACCAGCCAAGUCGCGUGAGGGAGGACGGCCCUACGGGUUGUAAACCUCUUUUGCCGGGGAGCAACGGGCGUCACGUGUGGCGCCACUGAGAGUACCCGGAGAAAAAGCAUCGGCUAACUCCGUUCCAGCAGCCGCGGUAAUCCGGGGGAUGCGAGCGUUAUCCGGAUUUGUUUGGUUUAAAGGGUUCGUAGGCGGAUCAUUAAGUCAGUGGUAAAAUUGAGGGGCUCAACCCCUUCCCGCCAUUGAAACUGGCGCUCUUGAGUGGAAGAGAAGUAUGCGGAAUGCGUGGUGUAGCGGUGAAAUGCAUAGAUAUCACGCAGAACCCCGAUUGCGAAGGCAGCAUGCCGGCUUCCGACUGACGCUGAAGCACGAAAGCGUGGGGAUCGAACAGGAUUAGAUACCCUUGUAGUC